UUUUAUCAAGUCUGUAAUUUCAUAAAUAUGAAACACCAUAUCAAUGUAACAAAUACAACAUAUAUCUAAAGAAAAUAACUCUUAUUAUUGUAUCAAAAAAAAAAAAUUAAAGUGAUGACCGAAUAAGCGUACUCCUUACAAUUUAGAUGGCAUCAAAUUAAAUCAUCUCUCCAUUACUAAUUAAAUCAAAAAAGACAAAUCUUAAAACUAAUUAAAUCAUAAAAGACAUAAUCCAUCAUACACCUAUGUUAAGAUCACUCCUAUUCCGAGCUAAUUCCCUUUAACUUCCAGAAUAAAUUAUGCAAUAAAGCUCUGUGGAACCAUCUUUCCAAAAGUCGAGCACUCCCUGGCUAGUAAUUGAUCUCACAUCCACCAAAAAUACUGUACAAGAAGUCCACAUAAAAAAAAUUCUAACUAUAUAGUAAUAAAGAGAAAGAAGAGUGUCUUCUAUACUUUUUCACAAUUUACCCUCUUAUUUUUCUCCAUGCCAGCUUCACUGUUUGCAAUUCUUGAUUAUGUUAACCUGACAAAAAACAAUUAGACUAUUCAAAACUUAAAUUUGAUUAUCAAGCUAUUUUAGAGAAACACCAAACACAAGACUUCAGAGACCGAACUUCCUAGAAAAAGCAGAAUUUACAAGUUGAUCCUAAAGAAAUAAAUGUUCUUUCAGUAAAUUAAGAAUGCUAAUAAUUGUUCCUGAGAAGUAGAAUAAAUUGCUACUUAACAAUAUUAACCUCAGCUCUUUCUCAAAAAUUUAAGAGGGACAACAACAUUAAAGAGAAAAAGAACUUGAAUCCUAUAACCAGUUAUACAACACUACUCCUGGACUCUAAGGAAAGGCUUCCCUUGUAUGUACAAAUUGAGCUCGGAGUCAAGAGUUGAUACAUGGUAAAUGAUCAAAUUAUUGAGCAGAAAUAAAGAUACACAGAAGUAUUUAACCAAAAGAGCACCACAUAAAGAAAAAACCACAUAUAUGACAUACAAAGAAUAUGAAAGAAGAAAUGCCUUGUAGGUGCUGUUUUAUGGAGAAGAAAUCUAUCUGCUACCACAACUUUAUAUCUCUUUCUCUGUCGGGCAAGAGAGUUAAAUUACAAUCACUAUCAAAUUCAAAAAGUAAUCUAGGACCAUUUUCUUGGCUGAAAAUUCACAUUUAUACUUAAUAUAUUCAUUAAAUUAGCCAAGGACUAUUUUAGCAACAGUAUAUUAAGAAUAUGACAUGCAAGAGCACACAUUUUGCCUAUUAGUCAAUGAAUGUUCAAAUGAACAAUUCACAAGCUCUUUCCAUCUCAUCCUAGAUAAGAAUAAUGGCCCAUAAUACACAAAUCAAAGUGCAAACUUAAAAAUAAGAUGUAAAUGAAACCUGAAAGAAUUAUCAAUCCAACCUGACUAGAAGGCCAAGUGUGUCGUGCUAUGCAAAAGAGGCUAAGAAAAAUCUUCCUAACUGAACCAUAAAUUUGAACUACUUGAAAUCCCAAUGAAACAUUGGAUUACCUGAAAUCGCAACGAAACAGAGUUUAAUAGCCAGAACCCACAGGUCAUUCAUGUGAAUCUGCUAUCUCAUUUCAAAGCAGGUCGAAAAGCAAUCCUCUAAACAGAACUCAAACUCGAAUAUCCAAUUUAAAUUUAACAAUACAAUGCUAAAAUUUAUACUCUUCUCAGUGUCCAACAUGUCAUAAUAGCGAAGUGUUGUAGUGCACUUAGCAGAUACAAAAUCUAAAUUAAAAACUGAAAAUAGAGUUGGCCAGAAACGAAGGUAGUUCCUAAAAUUGUCCUGCGUCAUAGAAUUAGUUCACAAGCAUAAGGUGAAAAAAAUAUGUAUUACAGCCUUGCAUAUAAUACCCUAAUGCUCCACCCAAAAGUCAAAAUUAAAGCAAAUAUUAAUUGGCAAAAAUUUCAAAACAAAAAAUAAACAUAAAAAAUAGCAAACAAGACGUCAAUUAUGAAUGACGACACUCGAAAAUUUUGUUCUUGAAUCUUAUUAAAUAAAAAUAAAAAUUUACAAGGGUGGAAAUCCUUCGUAGAAACAUAGAUCUCCGAUUAAAAUAGAAAACCCAGAAUUCAGAAAAGAGAUAGGAGAGUGUAUAUAUAUACAUAGAGAGAUGAGUUGGGUUACCUGGAAUGGUUGCCGGUGAUGGUGAGAGAGAGAUAAAUUGGGCAGAGGCGACCGCAAUUCCUAAACUUCGAUAGAUAAGGGUUUUUUACUUAAUUCAUUAUGCCCUAAAUUUUCACUUAUGGGACGGAAUAGGUGAUUGUCGUGGGAAAAAUGGGAGGGAAAGAUAAAAUACUAAAAUUUUCAUUUAAUUACUGGAAAAAAUGUAGAGAAAUUUCUAACAUUUGUUAUAAAUGUUGUUAAUUACUGACAAAUAU
rnacentral:lncRNA from 1 species